UAGAUAGCCAUGCAUGCCUUCGAAUACGAGGAAGCAAUUCUCUCUGAAUCUGCGAACGGCUCCGCAAACCAGUUGUAAACUAUGGCAAGCCCGCUCGUGGUCGUCGCAAGACGGCUGCUGGCUACACGGAUAACCCUGGUAAUUCUGAGGCUAAUACGAGAACGUAACCCCCAGCCAACCCGCAAGGGAAAGCUGGGGGACGUGCGAGUACGACACGAGGGAAUACCAAGAAAGGGCGCACGUCUUGACCGCGCUACAAAGGACCAGGUGGACGCUUGCUUGCAAGCCGAAGCCUGACCCCAGCGGCUCUUGCAGUGUGCUUCUGACCUAUCAACUAGACGGCAGCGUAACGGACAUGCCAUGGUUACAACGGGUACAGAGGAUUAGGGUUCGAUCCUGGAGAGUGGGCCUGAGAGAUUGCUCAUACUUCUAAGGAAGGCAGCAGGCGCGCAACGUUCCCCUUGGGCAAUGCUUGAGGGCGUUAGGGGACAUAUGAAUGCCUGCCAUCAUGGUGGGCAAUUCAAAUGGGUCUGUUGUAAACAGCCUCUCGAGUAACAAUUAGAGGACAAGUCUGGUGCCAGCACCCGCGGUAAUUCCAGCUCUAAUAGCAUACGUUAAAGUUGUUGCGGUUAAAACGCUCGUAGUCGGCUUCAGAUCAUCAGAUGCCUGAGCUGGGAAGCUGGGUCCGCUGCUCUUCGGAGCGCGCCAGCCGACUGGUGAGGGCGGGCGGUGGUCAAGUGCGCUUCAUGCUGUCUCUCGGGUCACAGGGUUGGGCGUCGUCCGCGGCGCUCGGCUCGGCGUGGGGUGCCACUUACUAUGAUUAAACCAACGUGAUCAAAGCAGGUCGUCAGACCUCUGUAUGGUGUAGCAUAGGAUAAAGUUACCGGUUCGGCUCAUUCGUGGGGGCUGGGCUGGUAGCAGCGAAAGGGGUGUUCGAGGGUGACCGAAUUGCUGGGCGAGUGGUGAAAUACGUUGACCCUAGCAAGUCGACCAAAGGCGAAAGCAGUCAUCAAGGGCACGCCCGUUGAUCAAGAGCGAAAGUUAAGGGUUCGAAGACGAUCAGAUACCGUCGUAGUCUUAACUAUAAAUGAUACUGACCAGGGAUAGGAUACUGUCCAUCUCGACUCUUCCCGGACCUUGGAGAAAUCACGAGUCUUGAGUCUGGGGGAGUAUCGG
rnacentral:rRNA from 1 species